ensembl:lncRNA
UAAACAUAAAGAUAUGUUUUACAGUAAUACUAAAUAGUUAAAUAUUAAUAAUUAUGGGUAAUAAAAAAACAUAAUAAUAUAACUAUAUUACAAUAACAUUAAAACAUGUAACUCAUUUAUUGUGUGUGUGUGUGUGUGUGUGUGUGUGUGUGUGUGUGUGUGUAUGUAUUAUUUUUGUCUUAUAUCCUGGUUUAAAUUAGAUUAUCAAUUCCAGAUUUUCUCUGUAGCUCAUAUUUUUGGCCUCCACUGAAUGUGAUUUAAUCACUUGGGUGACAUGCUGUAUCUGUGUGUUUUAGUGCUUAGAAGGUGCUAAAGGGAAGAAAGGAGAGAAGGGAGAGUCGGUAAGUGUGUGCGCCAACCUUGUCUUAGAGAGAGAGGUGAUCGAAUUUCGGUUCAACAGGCUUCACUGAAGCAGAGGGGAUAUCUUGAUACUGUUUCUAGCUAUUGAUUCACCCAUUUCUCAUUUACUUACAUUUCAGGGUCUAGCUGGCAACUGGGGAGAAGCUAUAGGAGUGAAGGUAAAUGAAGGCAACACCGUGUAGAUAUGAUUGUUAAUGAGUGCAUUAGAGCUUGCAAGCAGCUGAUCUCCAUUUCUCUUUCUGUGUUUCUGUCACUCUCAUACACAUACUCAGGGUGACAAAGGGCAAAAAGGAGAAAUCGGAGCCCCAGGUCUGCCCGGAAGUCCAGGCAAAGACGGUCGAGCUAAUCCUAUUUGUGUGGUGGGCCCUAAAGGACAAAAGGGUGUUCCUGGUGUAGUUGGUCCAGAGGGGCUUGCAGGAGAACCAGGCCGGCCAGGACCUCCUGGACCUCCUGGAGUUGGGAAACCAGGACCACCAGUAGGAAGAUUUAUAAUUUAAAUACAAUAUUUAUAGACAGUUUUUUAAAUUGAGGUUUUAAUACCUUUUAAAGUGUAAAUUGGGUGUAUUCUCUAGGGUUUUUUUUUUUUUUUUUAGUUUAUUGGAUAGAAAUUAGAGCCAACCUCCAAAAACUGGUGUUGCAAAAAGCUGCCAACUUCUAUUUUUUUGAGUUUCUGAGAAAAACUGUAACUGUUUUUUUUUUUUUUUAAUCAGUGUUUUUGGACCAACUUUUCAGUGUUAAUAGGUACACCCGCCACAAUUUAUUCAGCAAAGAUACAUUAUAUCGAUCAAAAGUGACAGU